GACGAACGCUGGCGGCGUGCUUAACACAUGCAAGUCGAACGGAAAGGCCCUGCUUUUGUGGGGUGCUCGAGUGGCGAACGGGUGAGUAACACGUGAGUAACCUGCCCUUGACUUUGGGAUAACUUCAGGAAACUGGGGCUAAUACCGGAUAGGAGCUCCUGCUGCAUGGGGGGGGUUGGAAAGUUUCGGCGGUUGGGGAUGGACUCGCGGCUUAUCAGCUUGUUGGUGGGGUAGUGGCUUACCAAGGCUUUGACGGGUAGCCGGCCUGAGAGGGUGACCGGCCACAUUGGGACUGAGAUACGGCCCAGACUCCUACGGGAGGCAGCAGUGGGGAAUAUUGCACAAUGGGCGGAAGCCUGAUGCAGCAACGCCGCGUGCGGGAUGACGGCCCUCGGGUUGUAAACCGCUUUCGCCUGUGACGAAGCGUGAGUGACGGUAAUGGGUAAAGAAGCACCGGCUAACUACGUG
rnacentral:rRNA from 1 species